GACGAACGCUGGCGGCGUGCCUAACACAUGCAAGUCGAACGGAAAGGCCCUGCUUUUGUGGGCUGGUCGAUUGGCGAACGGGGGAGUAUCACGUGUGUAACCUGUCCCUGUCUUACGGAUAACCUCAGGAAACUGCGGCUAAUAUCGGAUAGGAUCUCUUGCUGCAUGGUGGGCGUUGGAAAGUUUCGGCGGUUGGGGAUGGACUAGCGGCUUAUGGGCUUGUUGGUGGGGUAGGGGCUGACCAAGGUUAUGAAGGGUAGCCGACCUGGGAGGGUGACCGGCCACCAUAGGACUGCGCUACGGACCAGUAUCCAACGGGAGGCAACGGUGGGGAGUCUUACACAGUAGGCGGAAGCCUGGUGCGACAGCGCCGCGUGCGGGAAGACGUCCUUCUGGUUGUGAACCACUGUCGCCUGUAACGAGGCGUGAGUGACGGUACUGGGUAAAGAAGCACCGGCUAACUACGUG
rnacentral:rRNA from 1 species